rnacentral:rRNA from 1 species
CCCUUAGAUGUUCUGGGCCGCACGCGUGCUACACUGAGUAAAUCAAUGGGUAAGGGAACACGAAAGUGCAACCUAAUCUUGAAAUUUGCUCGUGAUGGGGAUCGACGGUUGCAAUUUUCCGUCGUGAACGAGGAAUACCUUGUAGGCGCGUGUCAUCAUCACGCGCCGAAUUCGUCCCUGCCCUUUGUACACACCGCCCGUCGCUCCUACCGAUUGAGUGAUCCGGUGAGGCUCUGGGACCUGGACGGAAAGAGCGUUUCGCUUGUUCUGUUUGGGAAACUUGGUCGAACCUUAUCAUUUAGAGGAAGGAGAAGUCGUAACA